UGUGGUGUUAAUCACUCACGGUGGUGAGCGUGAUGCAGGCGUGUGUGUGUGUGUGAGCACGCAUGAGGCCUGUGGCAGAGCUGUAGGAAAAGAGGGGCACUUAAACCUGGUCACUCACUAUUGGGCCCAAACAUCACUGCCCUGCCAUGAGUGUUACUGUAGCGCUCUGCCCUGGGCUGGGCGGAAGGGCUGGAGAGAGGGAGAAGGAUCGAGUGAGGGAAGGAUAUUGUAUGAGAACGAAAGGAGAGUGCUCCCAGAGAAGUGCUAAGGAGCCUUGUAGCAGUGAGAGACCUUUAGCACAAGACAGGAGGAGGCCAAAUGAGCAGCGCAGAGCGCAGCAGGGAAAAGACGGUCUGCCCAAUCUGUCCCCUCAGGCCCAGGGGCUGACACGAUACAUAUGGAGCUGUCCUUCCUCUUCCAUCUCCUUAACUGUCGCUCUGCCAGUCUGUAAAAGGCGAGCGGUAGUAGAGAUGAGGCGUUUUCGAUUGCUGUGUAAGGAAUAUCGAGGGUGUUUUCUGGGUCAUCAGCACAAACUAGCAGUGGUGACAAUGCUAAUUGUCAGGUAGUGGUAGCCGAGACAGGCGUAGCCUAGUUACCAACUACCAGCAGACUGGGAGAGGUCGAGCAACGGACCUCAACAAGACCAGUAUUGGUGUGACUGAAACUUCUCAGCCAGUAAGACAGAGAGAGAAAGGCUGCAUGCUUUUAGUCAGGGAGCUCAGCCUAGACCACAGACGACUCAAUUCUGCUCAGCAGUGAAACGGUUAAACUUUAGUUCUGUCCGGCAGCAAAACGGUUAAACUGAGUUAUAUAAUUUUUUAAAUCUCCCCCAGCUGUGCAGCUGACUUGGUAGUCCUGAUGGCUGAGGCCUAGAAAUUAGGUUGUCUUAUCAUUCAAUCAGGAGUGUGGUUGUAUGUGAAAUAUCUUUGCUUCCUAAGGCUUGUCUUCACCUGUUAUGGUGGAAAUGUUUUAAUUAUUGUUCUUGACAUUAUCUCCAUUAAGUGGGAAGGUGAUGAUCCUAACACUGUUUUGACUGUAUCUCCAUUAAAGAAAGGUGAUGAUCCUAACACUGUUUUGACUGUAUCUCCAUUAAAGAAAGGUGAUGAUCCUAACACUGUUUUGACUGUAUCUCCAUUAAAGAAAGGCACUGUUUUGUACUUCUAUCAGUGGAGGCUACUGAGGGGAGGACGGCUCAUAGUAAUGUCUGGAAUGGAGUCAAUGAAUGGUAUCAACCACAUGGAAACCUCGUCUUUGAUCUGUUAGAUAACUUUCCAUUGACUCCAUUCCAGCCAUUAUUAUGAGUCGUCCUCCCCUCAGUAGCCUCCACUGGCUUCUAUGACCAGGGGUAGGAACUGACCUGGAUGAAGAAAAAAAAACGGACCAAUGAGAAGAGACACAGGUGUACAACACUAAUGAAAUACUUGUUUUCCUCCCUCGACUCCACCUUGCUACAUCAAUGACUACGUUUACAUGCACAUUCAUC
rnacentral:lncRNA from 1 species